rnacentral:lncRNA from 1 species
AGUUUCGCGGAUAAAUACGAAAUUUUGAAGAUAAUUACGAAGAUCGGAAAAAAUGGAAUAUCUUCAUUUUUAUGCUAUGGCGGCUUAAGGGCGGAAGGGGAAAAGCGUAAACCGACCUUGGAGCCAGUAUAUAAGGAGUCCUAGGCGAGAAGCAGAGGAGAGGACUUUUCUCACAGCAAACUUGGCACUUAGAGCUAUUUUAGGCAAUUUUCCGUUUUUGUUAUUCGAGCUGCGACUCAAUUAGGUUCUGCCGUCUUAGCGUUUUAGAACUAGGAAUCUCGCCGACAGCUCUCGUAGCCCAGGCACU